AGGACGCUUAGGGCUAAGGGGGCUAGCGGAUGGAAGUGCUAGUCUAAGGUCGUAGGAGGUUAUACAGGAAAAUCCGUAUAACAAUACUCCGAGAACUGAAAGGCUUUUUGAAGUCUUCGGAUGGAUAGAAGAACCCCUGAUGCCGUCGAGCCAAGAAAAGUUUCUAAGUUUAGCUAAUGUUGCCCGUACCGUAAACCGACACAGGUGGGUGGGAUGAGUAUUCUAAGGCGCGUGGAAGAACUCUCUUUAAGGAACUCUGCAAAAUAGCACCGUAUCUUCGGUAUAAGGUGUGGUUAGCUUUGUAUUAGGAUUUACUCCGAAAGCGAAGAAACUUACAACAAAGAGUCCCUCCCGACUGUUUACCAAAAACACAGCACUCUGCUAACUCGUAAGAGGAUGUAUAGGGUGUGACGCCUGCCCGGUGCUCGAAGGUUAAUUGAUGGGGUUAGCAUUAGCGAAGCUCUUGAUCGAAGCCCGAGUAAACGGCGGCCGUAACUAUAACGGUCCUAAGGUAGCGAAAUUCCUUGUCGGUUAAAUACCGACCUGCAUGAAUGGCGUAACGAGAUGGGAGCUGUCUCAAAGAGGGAUCCAGUGAAAUUGUAGUGGAGGUGAAAAUUCCUCCUACCCGCGGCAAGACGGAAAGACCCCGUGGACCUUUACUACAGCUUGACACUGCUACUUGGAUAAGAAUGUGCAGGAUAGGUGGGAGGCUUUGAGUAUAUGACGCCAGUUGUAUAGGAGCCAUUGUUGAGAUACCACUCUUUCUUAUUUGGGUAGCUAACCAGCUUGAGUUAUCCUCAAGUGGGACAAUGUCUGGUGGGUAGUUUGACUGGGGCGGUCGCCUCCCAAAUAAUAACGGAGGCUUACAAAGGUUGGCUCAGAACGGUUGGAAAUCGUUCGUAGAGUAUAAAGGUAUAAGCCAGCUUAACUGCAAGACAUACAAGUCAAGCAGAGACGAAAGUCGGUCUUAGUGAUCCGGUGGUUCUGUGUGGAAGGGCCAUCGCUCAAAGGAUAAAAGGUACCCCGGGGAUAACAGGCUGAUCUCCCCCAAGAGCUCACAUCGACGGGGAGGUUUGGCACCUCGAUGUCGGCUCAUCGCAUCCUGGGGCUGGAGCAGGUCCCAAGGGUAUGGCUGUUCGCCAUUUAAAGCGGUACGCGAGCUGGGUUCAGAACGUCGUGAGACAGUUCGGUCCCUAUCUGCCGUGGGCGUAAGAAGAUUGAAGAGAUUUGACCCUAGUACGAGAGGACCGGGUUGAACAAACCACUGGUGUAGCUGUUGUUCUGCCAAGAGCAUCGCAGCGUAGCUAAGUUUGGAAAGGAUAAACGCUGAAAGCAUCUAAGCGUGAAGCCAACUCUAAGAUGAAUCUUCUCUAAGCUCUCUAGAAGACUACUAGUUUGAUAGGCUGGGUGUGUAAUGGAUGAAAGUCCUUUAGCUGACCAGUACUAAUAGAGCGUUUGGCUUAUCUUUAAUAAAGCAU
rnacentral:rRNA from 1 species